GUUGCAGAUGUUGGUUUAACUGUAAGUGGUAUUAUGGUACAACAUAUUUCCACAUAUUCGACUUAGGAUAUGCAAGGAUUCUCUUUGAGGAAUCUUUAGCAUUCAAUAACAGUGGAGUUGGAUUAUUGAUGAUCGUUAGAUUUGGGUUGUCAAAAGCAUCGAGUAAAGAUUCAGUGUAACUUCAUGAAAUGUCAGCUUAACGGUUUGGGUUAUUGAUGGUUGUUUUCAGUUCAAUGGGGACAAAGGAUGUGGGUGAUGCAUAGACAUUGGCAAUCAUGGUAAUAUUUUUUGCUUUAAUAUUCAUGUCUGUAACGCUUUACAUUUGACAAGGUAGGCAUUCUUAUUCAAGUCUUGUUAAAACUUUAAGUUUUAUAUUUUCUGAUCAGACUCCACUGUAUCCAUAUAUGACUCUUGUGAGAGAUACUAGAGGUUCGUUCAUUUCAAGGAGUGAUGCUCUUUUUUAGUCUAGAAAGUCAUUCAGAAAAUAUUAGAAUUAAUUAUGAUAUUAUGUCUUCAGCAACACCGAUACAAGAUGGUAUUCGAGUGACUCAAUAAUGUUCCUUGUUAUUGUAGCGAGUUCAAUUGAAAAAUUAUCUUUAAAAGCCUUUUUUUCAGACACCCUUGUUCAGAGACUUGUAGCGAGUUCUUGUAGACCCUUGUUCAGAGACUUCUUAUAGAAAAUAAAAAGCAAGCUUAAAAGCCCUUUUUUUUCUUAUAAUCCAUCUUUCCCGUUUUUAAGAAUUCCUUUAGUAAUCUUUAUAUUCGAUCUAGAGGUUUAUAUUGUGGUAUGUUAGUCUCCUGGGCUUGACAAAGUGAUGCAGCUCUCCACAGAGAAUGAUAUUGUCUAGAGUAGAGCCCUUAUAAUCAUAACAAGCUUGAACAUUUGCAUCUUUAAAGGGAUUCGAUCUUAAGCAGGGACCACAAUGAAGUGUUAAUCUAAUGUACCCCUGAGCAUGAUAAAUUGUAUAAUAUCCUUCUAUAAACUAGUAAAACGAAACAAGAAAGAAGAUGCCGGAUGUUGUUGCAUCAUGUUGUGACUGGUGUCAAUGUUUUAGUAGUUCUGAAAUUCUAUUAGUUCGUACAAUUUGGUUAUGUUGGGUGCUAAUAUUUUAUAUCUGUAAUAGUUUUCUUUGUUCCGAUAAAGAUCGUUUUCAACUGCUAGCUACAAGCUUAGUACGGAUGACAAUUAAAUUUAUUAAUCUUGUAUUAGUGUUGUGUGUUUAACCUUGGUGCAAUGUUGUUACUCCUGACACCAUCAACAAGCGAUCGAACACCUAUUAAGGUAUCUUUUUAGCCAAUUCAUAAAAUUUCAUUUAACAACCCAUUUAUCUACUUUAGCCAAAAAUUUACUAAUAAACCAACACGAAAUUAUCUAAGAGUAUCAAGUUCAUGUCCACGUUUCGGCGCAAACAAAGUUCGAUCAUCUAAGAGUCCAUCUGCAUAUUUAUGUUUGAAAUAUAAUUUCAAUUUUUUUUGUUUGUUUAUCCUUUUCUUGCAGCCUUCACAAUCAGUGCUUGCGGAAAUUUUUGUUUUCUUUAGACUGAGACAGAGUUGAUGAAUUGAGCGCGCUUUACUCUCCAAUCCUUGGUGCGCUGUUCGGAAGUGUGGGCUUAUUUGAUCAACGAGAAGCUUAUCGUUUUGCUGGUUUGCACUUGUCAUUAAGAAACCUUCAACUUAUUAGGACUUGUACCACUUAUCUUUCAGAAAAAUCUUGAACUUAUUAGGUACUGUAUUGGUGUCAAUUCAGUAUUAAAAUCUUGUUGUAUCAUUUUUGAACUGAAUUUAUGAAUCAAAUGAAUGUUCAAUGGAAUGGUAAUUUGAGUUUGUAAA